GGUUAAGCGACUAAGCGUACACGGUGGAUGCCCUGGCAGUCAGAGGCGAUGAAGGACGUGCUAAUCUGCGAUAAGCGUCGGUAAGGUGAUAUGAACCGUUAUAACCGGCGAUUUCCGAAUGGGGAAACCCAGUGUGUUUCGACACACUAUCAUUAACUGAAUCCAUAGGUUAAUGAGGCGAACCGGGGGAACUGAAACAUCUAAGUACCCCGAGGAAAAGAAAUCAACCGAGAUUCCCCCAGUAGCGGCGAGCGAACGGGGAGCAGCCCAGAGCCUGAAUCAGUGUGUGUGUUAGUGGAAGCGUCUGGAAAGGCGCGCGAUACAGGGUGACAGCCCCGUACACAAAAAUGCACAUGCUGUGAGCUCGAUGAGUAGGGCGGGACACGUGGUAUCCUGUCUGAAUAUGGGGGGACCAUCCUCCAAGGCUAAAUACUCCUGACUGACCGAUAGUGAACCAGUACCGUGAGGGAAAGGCGAAAAGAACCCCGGCGAGGGGAGUGAAAAAGAACCUGAAACCGUGUACGUACAAGCAGUGGGAGCACGCUUAGGCGUGUGACUGCGUACCUUUUGUAUAAUGGGUCAGCGACUUAUAUUCUGUAGCAAGGUUAACCGAAUAGGGGAGCCGAAGGGAAACCGAGUCUUAACUGGGCGUUAAGUUGCAGGGUAUAGACCCGAAACCCGGUGAUCUAGCCAUGGGCAGGUUGAAGGUUGGGUAACACUAACUGGAGGACCGAACCGACUAAUGUUGAAAAAUUAGCGGAUGACUUGUGGCUGGGGGUGAAAGGCCAAUCAAACCGGGAGAUAGCUGGUUCUCCCCGAAAGCUAUUUAGGUAGCGCCUCGUGAAUUCAUCUCCGGGGGUAGAGCACUGUUUCGGCAAGGGGGUCAUCCCGACUUACCAACCCGAUGCAAACUACGAAUACCGGAGAAUGUUAUCACGGGAGACACACGGCGGGUGCUAACGUCCGUCGUGAAGAGGGAAACAACCCAGACCGCCAGCUAAGGUCCCAAAGUCAUGGUUAAGUGGGAAACGAUGUGGGAAGGCCCAGACAGCCAGGAUGUUGGCUUAGAAGCAGCCAUCAUUUAAAGAAAGCGUAAUAGCUCACUGGUCGAGUCGGCCUGCGCGGAAGAUGUAACGGGGCUAAACCAUGCACCGAAGCUGCGGCAGCGACGCUUAUGCGUUGUUGGGUAGGGGAGCGUUCUGUAAGCCUGCGAAGGUGUGCUGUGAGGCAUGCUGGAGGUAUCAGAAGUGCGAAUGCUGACAUAAGUAACGAUAAAGCGGGUGAAAAGCCCGCUCGCCGGAAGACCAAGGGUUCCUGUCCAACGUUAAUCGGGGCAGGGUGAGUCGACCCCUAAGGCGAGGCCGAAAGGCGUAGUCGAUGGGAAACAGGUUAAUAUUCCUGUACUUGGUGUUACUGCGAAGGGGGGACGGAGAAGGCUAUGUUGGCCGGGCGACGGUUGUCCCGGUUUAAGCGUGUAGGCUGGUUUUCCAGGCAAAUCCGGAAAAUCAAGGCUGAGGCGUGAUGACGAGGCACUACGGUGCUGAAGCAACAAAUGCCCUGCUUCCAGGAAAAGCCUCUAAGCAUCAGGUAACAUCAAAUCGUACCCCAAACCGACACAGGUGGUCAGGUAGAGAAUACCAAGGCGCUUGAGAGAACUCGGGUGAAGGAACUAGGCAAAAUGGUGCCGUAACUUCGGGAGAAGGCACGCUGAUAUGUAGGUGAAGUCCCUCGCGGAUGGAGCUGAAAUCAGUCGAAGAUACCAGCUGGCUGCAACUGUUUAUUAAAAACACAGCACUGUGCAAACACGAAAGUGGACGUAUACGGUGUGACGCCUGCCCGGUGCCGGAAGGUUAAUUGAUGGGGUUAGCGCAAGCGAAGCUCUUGAUCGAAGCCCCGGUAAACGGCGGCCGUAACUAUAACGGUCCUAAGGUAGCGAAAUUCCUUGUCGGGUAAGUUCCGACCUGCACGAAUGGCGUAAUGAUGGCCAGGCUGUCUCCACCCGAGACUCAGUGAAAUUGAACUCGCUGUGAAGAUGCAGUGUACCCGCGGCAAGACGGAAAGACCCCGUGAACCUUUACUAUAGCUUGACACUGAACAUUGAGCCUUGAUGUGUAGGAUAGGUGGGAGGCUUUGAAGUGUGGACGCCAGUCUGCAUGGAGCCGACCUUGAAAUACCACCCUUUAAUGUUUGAUGUUCUAACGUUGACCCGUGAUCCGGGUUGCGGACAGUGUCUGGUGGGUAGUUUGACUGGGGCGGUCUCCUCCUAAAGAGUAACGGAGGAGCACGAAGGUUGGCUAAUCCUGGUCGGACAUCAGGAGGUUAGUGCAAUGGCAUAAGCCAGCUUGACUGCGAGCGUGACGGCGCGAGCAGGUGCGAAAGCAGGUCAUAGUGAUCCGGUGGUUCUGAAUGGAAGGGCCAUCGCUCAACGGAUAAAAGGUACUCCGGGGAUAACAGGCUGAUACCGCCCAAGAGUUCAUAUCGACGGCGGUGUUUGGCACCUCGAUGUCGGCUCAUCACAUCCUGGGGCUGAAGUAGGUCCCAAGGGUAUGGCUGUUCGCCAUUUAAAGUGGUACGCGAGCUGGGUUUAGAACGUCGUGAGACAGUUCGGUCCCUAUCUGCCGUGGGCGCUGGAGAACUGAGGGGGGCUGCUCCUAGUACGAGAGGACCGGAGUGGACGCAUCACUGGUGUUCGGGUUGUCAUGCCAAUGGCACUGCCCGGUAGCUAAAUGCGGAAGAGAUAAGUGCUGAAAGCAUCUAAGCACGAAACUUGCCCCGAGAUGAGUUCUCCCUGACUCCUUGAGAGUCCUGAAGGAACGUUGAAGACGACGACGUUGAUAGGCCGGGUGUGUAAGCGCAGCGAUGCGUUGAGCUAACCGGUACUAAUGAACCGUGAGGCUUAACCUU
rnacentral:rRNA from 1 species